UUUUUUUUUUUUUCUUUUUAGGGCCGCACAUGCAGCAUAUGGAAGUUCCCAGGCUAGGGGAUGAAUCCAAGCUACAGCUGCCAGCCUACACACAGCCACAGCAAUGCAGGACCUGAGCUGAUUCUGUGACCUACCCUGCAGUCUGUAGUAACACUGGAUCCUUAACCCACUAAAGCCACAUUGAUGGUACUAGGUGGGGGCCUAAACCUGCUGAGCCACAAUGGGAACUCCUGUUUCUGGGUUCUGAAGACACUGCACCCUCCUAGUUUUUCUCCUACUUGGAUGGUCACUCCGUCUUGGCCUCUCCUUGACAGUUUCCUCUACUUCUUGACCUCUUAGUGCUGGAAACCCCCAGGGUUGAGUUCAGUUUCUCUUUCUACUUUAUCCAAACUUACUCACUUGAUCAUCUCCUUCAGCCUUACAACUUUCACUAUCCAUAUGCUGAUGACACCAUCUUUUAGGCUCAGAUAUAUCCAACAGAUUCUCAUAAGUCCUACCUAUGGAUGAUCAGCAAUGACCCUACAUCUCCCAUCAAGGGUCUAACAGUCAUCUCAAACUCGGUAUGUCCAAUAUUCCUCACAAGCUUACUCUUCCUAUAGCCUUUCACAUCUCAAACGACAGCAAUCUCAUCUUUGUAGCUUCUCACACCAAAACCUUGAGUCCUUUUUCUUUAGCAUUCUUUAUCCAAUCUAUCAUGAACUCCUAUUGAACUUUACUUUCAAGGUAUAUGCAGCACUGAACUACUUCUCACCACCUCUACUGAUCAACCCAUGGUCCAAACUACAUCAUCACUUGCUUGGGCUACCAGCACAAUCUCAAACUAGCCUCUUAACUUCUGUCCUGGCCCUACUCAGUAUAUUCUAAACACAACAUCCAAAGAGGUAUUUUUUUUUAGAAAGCCAAUAUUUUGCCAUAACUCCCAUUUCACUCAGAUUAAAACCAUUCUCUUAUAGUUCCCAUUGUGGCUCAGUGGUUUUGACCCCAGCUACAAUCUCUGAGGAUGCAGGUUCAAUCCCUGGCUUUGCUCAGUGGGUUAAGGAUCCAGCGAAGUCAGGGAUCGAACCCACAACCUCAUGGUUCCUGGUUAUUUUCGUUUCUGCUGAGCCUGAUGGGAACUCCUGCAGUCUUAGAUAUGUACACGUACAUUUUGCAUCUCCGUGGGGACAUGUUCAGCAUUUCUCACACUUGUUUGACCUCAGAAUCCCCUGUUAUUUUAUGGAACUUGUAUUAAUAUCUCAUAGAUAUGGUAUUCCAAAAGAAGCCACAUUCUCUUUCCUGACAUAAAUUUUAGAAAGGCUAGGUAAAUGGAAUAAUGAAUGGAGAGAGAAAACACCAGCUGGCCAUGGCUUUGACCCCACGCCUGGUACUUCCUUGUCUUCUGGGUUCAUCACUGAAUAAGCAUGAGUGAUCAGUCUCUAACGUUUUGUUCCAUCAUUUGCAGAGCUACCCUCAUAGCAUCACGAAAAAGCAUGAGGGUCCUUCUCUCCAGCAAUGAUCAGUUCAGGCUAAGCCUUGGUGCUGAAAGUGGGAGAAAAGGCAGGGAGAGCCCUGUAAAACUGGAGGAGCACAUGGAGUGAAGAUUAUUUACACUGUGUGCCUACACCGGGGGGGGGGGGUCCACUAAAAUUUACUAUCUCAUCCUAGUCUUUGAGAUAUGCUUAAAGACCCAGAGUUCAGGUUGCUUUAGUGGGUCAUUCUGUGUCUGAUGGAUGCACCUGCCCGCUCUCUCCCGCACCAGAGCAGAACACAAAACACUGUCACAUCCAAUGUGAUGGGAUCACAUGUCUUCAGACCCUUUUUAUGAGGGUGACUCUCUAAAAUGCCAUCAUUAUUCACUAUUAUUUAAGGAGGAGGAAGGAGAGGCACGGAAGGGAAGUUUUACCCCUCAGAGGGAAAGCCUCAGGUGAACCUUCUGGCUACCAGAAUAUAUCGUUCAGAAUAUACAGUGGGUAGAGAAGAUACCUUGCAAUUACGACAUCAAAACAAAUUAAUUCCUACCAUGUCCCACGUCCAGCUGAGUCAGACUGCCCUAUCCUCAGAGUCAGAAAUGUAUAACAAGUCAGUCAAGUCAUUAACAGGUUAUGCAUUUUGCAAUGUCACUGACCAGAAUGUUUAGUGAGUGAGUAAAAUUAACCUAACUUCCAACACGAACUUUGCAUCUUUCCAUGUAAAGGUACUUAUACCUCUUUUCAUAUUUCCAAAUACUCCUGUCAAGCACACUCUGUUUUAACAAUAAACAGACUUAUGGAAUAACUUGUUUGUAUUGUGCUUUACAGUUUACUAAGUACUUUCAUGUACAGGUCUUCUUUUAUCCUCAGUAUAAUUCUGAUGGAUCUUAGUGUCUUCAUUUUCUGAUGUAGGAAUUAG
rnacentral:lncRNA from 9 species